AGGUAAUAGGGUCUGUAGAUAGUGUAGGUAAUAGUAGAUAGUGUAGGUAAUAGUAGAUAGUGUAGGUAAUAGUAGAUAGUUUAGGUAAUAGUAGAUGGUUUAGGUAAUCGUAGAUAGUGUAGGUAAUAGUAGAUAGUGUAGGUAACAGUAGAUAGUUUAGGUAAUAGUAGAUGGUUUAGGUAAUCGUAGAUAGUGUAGGUAAUAGGGUCUGUAGAUAGUGUAGGUAAUAGGGUCUGUAGAUAGUGUAGGUAAUCGUAGAUAGUGUAGGUAAUAGGGUCUGUAGAUCGUGUAGGUAAUAGGGUCUGUAGAUAGUGUAGGUAAUAGUAGGUAGUGGAGGUAAUAGUAGAUAGUGUAGGUGAUAGUAGAUAGUGUAGGUAAUAGGGCCUGUAGAUAGUGUAGGUAAUCAUAGAUAGUAUAGGUAAUAGGGUCUGUAGAUAGUGUAGGUAAUAGUAGAUAGUGUAGGUAAUAGUAGAUAGUGUAGGUAAUAGUAGAUAGUGUAGGUAAUAGUAUAUAGUGUAGGUAUUAGGGUCUGUAGAUAGUGUAGGUAAUAGGGUCUGUAGAUAGUGUAGGUAAUAGUAGAUAGUGUAGGUAAUAGUAGAUAGUGUAGGUAAUAGUAGGUAGUGUAGGUAAUAGUAGAUAGUGUAGGUAAUAGUAGAUAGUGUAGGC
ensembl:lncRNA